rnacentral:rRNA from 1 species
AUUGAACGCUGGCGGCAUGCCUUACACAUGCAAGUCGAACGGUAACGCGGGGCAACCUGGCGACGAGUGGCGAACGGGUGAGUAAUGUAUCGGAACGUGCCCAGUUGUGGGGGAUAACUACUCGAAAGAGUAGCUAAUACCGCAUACGACCUGAGGGUUCACGCGGGGGAUCGCAAGACCUCGCGCAAUUGGAGCGGCCGAUAUCAGAUUAGGUAGUUGGUGGGGUAAAGGCCUACCAAGCCAACGAUCUGUAGCUGGUCUGAGAGGACGACCAGCCACACUGGGCCUGAGACACGGCCCAGACUCCUACGGGAGGCAGCAGUGGGGAAUUUUGGACAAUGGGCGCAAGCCUGAUCCAGCCAUGCCGCGUGCGGGAAGAAGGCCUUCGGGUUGUAAACCGCUUUUGUCAGGGAAGAAAUCUUCUGGGUUAAUACCUCGGGAGGAUGACGGUACCUGAAGAAUAAGCACCGGCUAACUACGUGCCAGCAGCCGCCGUAA